rnacentral:lncRNA from 1 species
UAAAUUCCAUAAGAUUUGCAAGUACGAAAUCCGAAAUCGAAUAUAUUAUUAUAUAGAUGAAUCUGUUGUCAUAAAAUAUUACCAAAAAUGAUCAACAUCAGUUAGUUGCACCGUACAUCAAUGAUGUAAGCUAGUCACAAUGUGUUCAUAAACAUUUAGCAAAAAAAUUAUAUAUACUAAUAUCCCUCUAACAUGUAAAAUUAAUUUUCUUAACAUUCCCAGCAAAAAAUGGUCAAUCAAUAUGUCAUCAAAAUCUGCUUCUUGAACUUCAAUAUCCAAAACCUGUAAAGGAGAUAAGAAAUUUUAUUUAGAAAAACUAUAACCAUGUAGAUGGAACAAAAUCAGAGCUAGACAAAGAAAAAAGAAGCAAAAAAUUAUUAAAGACUAUCAGAGGAUGUACACAGUUUUAAAGUAUAUAGGCAUCCAUGAUAAUAUAACAAUGAAUCCUUGCAUCGAGUAAAAACAUUUACCAAGACUGAUUAAUCAAGAAACGAAGUAUAAGACAUAAAAAGUACAUAUAUUUCAACUUAGAUAUGGUUGAGGGGCAACUGAAACAUGCAUAAGCAAAGAGCGAAUUGCUGCAGAGUUUUAAAGUUUGGCAAAUCAGAAGACUUCAACAGAUAUUUAGAAACAGAUGUGCAAUAGAUACAUAUUGCACUUUGAGGAUACAUACAGGAAGUGCCUUACACCAAGUUAUGAAACUCGAUAAUUUGAAACAAAGAGAACUUCCUUUAUGAUACAAUUAGUUCUCAAUUUUUGCACCUAUUGCCAUGGUGCUUUAUAGAUUCUUGAUCCACUAAGAUAUGGACUUCUGGAUAGGCAAUGUAGAUUUGCACCUCUAUAAAGUUAAACAAACUAACAUAAAAGUAGAAAAUGGUGAAUUAUUAAAAUGCUAAUUUUACUAUUAGAAAUAGAUAUAUGUACCCAGCUAUGCAUGGCAUUUGCAACAAUUAUAGACCACGUCGGUAGUCAAAAACUCUUCAUAUUGCCUUUAGAAGCUUGAAAUUUGUGCAUUGUCUCGAGAAUCAAAAACUCUGCUGUAGUGUGAAAGGCACAAAC